UACAGAGGUCUCAAGCGUUGUUCGGAUUCAUUGGGCGUAAAGGGUGUGUAGGUGGCGCGCUAAGUCGGGUGUGAAAUUUCGGAGCUUAACUCCGAAACUGCAUUUGAUACUGGCGUGCUUGAGGACUGGAGAGGAGACUGGAAUUCAUGGUGUAGCAGUGAAAUGCGCAGAUAUCAGGAAGAACACCAAUGGCGAAGGCAGCUCUCUGGGACGGUACUGACGCUGAGACGCGAAAGCGUGGGGAGCGAACAGG
rnacentral:rRNA from 1 species